rnacentral:rRNA from 1 species
UACAGAGGUCUCAAGCGUUGUUCGGAUUCAUUGGGCGUAAAGAGCGUGUAGGCGGCCAGAUAAGUCCGCUGUGAAAUCUCGAGGCUCAACUUCGAGCUGUCGGUGGAAACUGUCUGGCUAGAGUCCGGAAGAGGAGGAUGGAAUUCCUGGUGUAGCGGUGAAAUGCGCAGAUAUCAGGAAGAACACCCGUGGCGAAGGCGGUUCUCUGGGACGGUACUGACGCUGAGACGCGAAAGCGUGGGGAGCGAACAGG